UUAGCCAGGAAGUUCCUUUCCUUUCUAUUGGAUUUAAGUGUAUAAAUAUACAACUACAUGCAUUGUUCAAUUUCAUCAUCUUCAUUACGUUUCUAGAGAGAGAGGGUAAAGAGGAGAAAAGAAAGAGAAAGAGAGAUGCCGCCACCAGGAUGGGGACCGCCGCCAGGAGGACCGCCAGGGCCUCCCGGAAUAUGUGGCUGCUUUGAUUUUCUUUGUGGUGGUAUUUGCCGUCUUAUAUCUUCAUGUUUUUAUGUGCUGUGCUGUUGCUGCAUCUUUGAAAGCUGCUGUGGGCCAAUGUUCGGUGGGCCACCUGGACCUCCUGGGCCACGACCUUUUUAAUCAGCCCCUUUCCAUUUUUCUGUCACUCUGUUUCUUUUCUAGUUGUAAAUCAAGAUUUAUGACGCCAUUUAUGCACAUGCAAAUAAAAUUCUAAAACAUGUGCCUCUGAGUUUAAUUUGAAUGCCUAUUCUACUUUUA